GGUCAAGCUACAAAGGGCGCAUGGUGAAUGCCUUGGCAUCAGGAGCCGAUGAAGGACGUGAUAAGCUGCGAUAAGCUUCGGGUAGGCGCACAUAGCCUGAGAUCCGAAGAUCUCCGAAUGAGGAAACUCACAUGGGAAACCCCAUGUAUCAUUAAGUGAAUACAUAGCUUAAUGAAGGUAACCCAGGGAACUGAAACAUCUAAGUACCUGGAGGAAGAGAAAGAAAAAUCGAUUUUCUUAGUAGCGGCGAGCGAAAGGGAAAGAGCCCAAACCGGAAACUUGUUUCCGGGGUUGAGGACAUAACAUAAAGAGAAGUAAUGGCUAAUUGAAGAGAACUGGAAAGUUCCACCGUAGAAGGUAAUAGUCCUGUAAAUGAAAGCUAGUAUAAUCGAGUUAUGAUCCAGAGUACCACGAGACACGUGAAACCUUGUGGGAAGCAGGGAGGACCACCUCCCAAGGCUAAAUACUACCUGAUGACCGAUAGUGAAGCAGUACCGUGAGGGAAAGGUGAAAAGAACCCCGGGAGGGGAGUGAAAUAGAACCUGAAACCGUGUGCCUACAACCGCUCAGAGCCCCUUAUGAGGGUGAUGAGGUGCUUUUUGUAGAACGAGCCAACGAGUUACGGUAUGUAGCAAGGUUAAGUACUUAAGGUACGGAGCCGAAGGGAAACCGAGUCUGAAUAGGGCGACUAGUUGCAUGCCGUAGACCCGAAACCGGGUGACCUAUCCAUGGCCAGGUUGAAGCGAGGGUAAAACCUCGUGGAGGACCGAACCACGUUGCUGUUGAAAAAGCAUGGGAUGAGCUGUGGAUAGCGGAGAAAUUCCAAUCGAACCCGGAGAUAGCUGGUUCUCUCCGAAAUAGCUUUAGGGCUAGCGUCGAGUAUGAGUAGUGGAGGUAGAGCACUGAAUGGGCUAGGGGGCAUAGCGCUUACCGAACCUUAUCAAACUCCGAAUGCCACAUACUUUGAGCUCGGCAGUCAGACUACGAAUGAUAAGAUCCGUGGUCAAAAGGGAAACAGCCCAGAUCGUCAGCUAAGGUCCCAAAGUGUAAGUUAAGUGGGAAAGGAUGUGAGAUUUCUAAGACAACUAGGAUGUUGGCUUAGAAGCAGCCAUUCAUUAAAAGAGUGCGUAAUAGCUCACUAGUCGAGAGAUCUUGCGCCGAAAAUGUAACGGGGCUAAACUUACCACCGAAGCUACGGGCUUGAACUUAGUUCAAGCGGUAGGAGAGCGUCGUAACCGGGCUGAAGUCGUACCGUAAGGAGCGGUGGACUGGUUACGAGUGAGAAUGUUGGCAUCAGUAGCGAGAUGUGGGUGAGAAUCCCACAGGCCGAAAACCUAAGGUUUCCUCAGGAAGGUUCGUCCGCUGAGGGUUAGUCGGGACCUAAGCCGAGGCCGAAAGGCGUAGGUGAUGGACAACUGGUUGAUAUUCCAGUACCACUACCAUCGUUAUUAUCGAUGGCGUGACGCAGGAGGAUAGUGUGUGCUAGCUAUUGGAUGCUAGUCUAAGCGUUUAGGCAGUGAGAGUAGGCAAAUCCGCUCUCAUAAUGCUGAGGCGUGAUGGGGAAGGUUCCACGGAACCGAAGUACAUGAUUCCACGCUGCCAAGAAAAGCGUCUAGAGAGAGAAGUAGUGCCCGUACCGCAAACCGACACAGGUAGGUGAGGAGAGAAUCCUAAGGCCGGCGGAAGAAUUACAGUUAAGGAACUCGGCAAAUUGACCCCGUAAGUUCGCGAGAAGGGGUGCCUACGAGAGUAGGCCGCAGAGAAUAGGCCCAAGCAACUGUUUAGCAAAAACACAGGUCUCUGCUAAAGCGUAAGCUGAUGUAUAGGGGCUGACGCCUGCCCGGUGCUGGAAGGUUAAGGGGAACACUUAGCGCAAGCGAAGGUGUGAACUUAAGCCCCAGUAAACGGCGGCCGUAACUAUAACGGUCCUAAGGUAGCGAAAUUCCUUGUCAGGUAAGUUCUGACCCGCACGAAUGGCGUAAUGACUUGGGCACUGUCUCAACUGUAAAUCCGGCGAAGUUGUAGUGCGAGUGAAGAUGCUCGCUACCCGCGAUUGGACGGAAAGACCCCGUAGAGCUUUACUGUAGCUUAGCAUUGAGUUUUGGUAUUGUCUGUACAGGAUAGGUGGGAGACUAGGAAACCAGGGCGUCAGCCUUGGUGGAGUCAACCUUGGGAUACCACCCUGACAGUACUGAAAUUCUAACUGGCGGCCAUGAAUCUGGUCACAGGACAUUGUUAGGUGGGCAGUUUGACUGGGGCGGUCGCCUCCUAAAAAGUAACGGAGGCGCCCAAAGGUUCCCUCAGAACGGUCGGAAAUCGUUCGAAGAGUGCAAAGGCAGAAGGGAGCCUGACUGCGACACCCACAAGUGGAGCAGGGACGAAAGUCGGGCUUAGUGAUCCGGUGGUACCUCGUGGGAGGGCCAUCGCUCAACGGAUAAAAGCUACCUCGGGGAUAACAGGCUGAUCUCCCCCAAGAGUCCACAUCGACGGGGAGGUUUGGCACCUCGAUGUCGGCUCGUCGCAUCCUGGGGCUGAAGUAGGUCCCAAGGGUUGGGCUGUUCGCCCAUUAAAGCGGCACGCGAGCUGGGUUCAGAACGUCGUGAGACAGUUCGGUCCCUAUCCGUCGCGGGCGUAGGAAAUUUGAGAGGAGCUGUCCUUAGUACGAGAGGACCGGGAUGGACUGACCUCUGGUGUACCAGUUGUUCUGCCAGGAGCACAGCUGGGUAGCUAAGUCGGGAAUGGAUAAACGCUGAAAGCAUCUAAGCGUGAAGCCAACCUCAAGAUGAGAUUUCCCAUAGCGUAAGCUAGUAAGAUCCCUUGAAGAACACAAGGUUGAUAGGUCGGGGGUGUAAGCAUGGUAACAUGUUCAGCUGACCGAUACUAAUAGAUCGAGGGCUUGACCAAAUA
rnacentral:rRNA from 1 species